GGUGAACGCUGGCGGCGUGCUUAAGACAUGCAGGUCGAACGGCAGUCUUCGGACUGUAGUGGCGCACGGGUGAGUAACGCGUAACUGACAUACCCCAAAGUCGCGGAGAACGAUUCGCAAGAAUCGCUAAUACGUGAUGUGCUGGCAGAUUGUGUUCUGACAGUAAAGAUUGAUUGCUUUGGGAUGGGGUUGCGUUCCAUCCGCUAGUUGGUGGGGUAAAGGCCCACCAAGGCGACGACGGCUAGCCGGCCUGAGAGGGUGGCCGGCCACAGGGGCACUGAGACACGGGUCCCACUCCUACGGGAGGCAGCAGUUAGGAAUCUUCCACAAUGGGCGAAAGCCUGAUGGAGCGACGCCGCGUGAGGGAUGAAGGUCUUCGGAUCGUAAACCUCUGAAUCAGGGACGAAAGACACUUCGGUGGGAUGACGGUACCUGAGUAAUAGCACCGGCUAACUCCGUGCCAGCCGCCGCAGUAAAAC
rnacentral:rRNA from 1 species